GACGAACCGUGCGAACGUUAUUCGGAAUCACUGGGCUUAAAGCGCGUGUAGGCGGGUCGCCACGUCGGGCGGUGAAAUCCCCCGGCUCAACCGGGGAACGGGCACCGAUACGAGCGGCCUGGAGGGGAGUAGGGGGACCUGGAACUUCCGGUGGAGCGGUGAAAUGCGUUGAGAUCGGAAGGAACGCCCGUGGCGAAAGCGAGGUCCUGGGCUCCUGCUGACGCUGAGACGCGAAAGCGUGGGGAGCGAACAGG
rnacentral:rRNA from 1 species